GUUGGAGCACUAAAGGAGCAAAGGCAUGUCCAGUUUGUGCUAAGGAUACUUGCUCUAUCCGAUUGAAAUAUGGGAGAAAAAAAUAUUUUAUAGGAUAUUUCAGAUUCUUACCUAAUGGUCACCCUUUGCGCAAAAAAAUGAGUCGAUUGCCCCAUUUGAAGAAAUUUGUCAAUCCACCACAUCCAUUGUCUGGAGAAAAGGUGUUACAG
rnacentral:lncRNA from 1 species